GACGAACGCUGGCGGCGUGCUUAACACAUGCAAGUCGAACGAUGAAGCCGGGGCUUGCUCUGGUGAAUUAGUGGCGAACGGGUGAGUAACACGUGAGUAACCUGCCCUUGACUCUGGGAUAACUGCUAGAAAUGGUAGCUAAUACCGGAUACGACCCUCGGAGGCAUCUCCAGGGGGUGGAAAGAAUUUCGGUCAAGGAUGGACUCGCGGCCUAUCAGCUAGUUGGUGAGGCAACGGCUCACCAAGGCGACGACGGGUAGCCGGCCUGAGAGGGUGACCGGCCACACUGGGACUGAGACACGGCCCAGACUCCUACGGGAGGCAGCAGUGGGGAAUAUUGCACAAUGGGCGCAAGCCUGAUGCAGCAACGCCGCGUGAGGGAUGACGGCCUUCGGGUUGUAAACCUCUUUUAGUAGGGAAGAAGCGAAAGUGACGGUACCUGCAGAAAAAGCACCGGCUAACUACGUGCCAGCCGCCGCAGUAA
rnacentral:rRNA from 1 species